AGUGAACGCUGGCGGUAGGCCUAACACAUGCAAGUCGAACGGCAGCACAGCAGUAGCAAUACUGUGGGUGGCGAGUGGCGGACGGGUGAGGAAUACAUCGGAAUCUACCUUUUCGUGGGGGGAUAACGUAGGGAAACUUACGCUAAUACCGCAUAAGACCUUCGGGUGAAAGUGGGGGACCUUCGGGCCUCACGCGGAUA
rnacentral:rRNA from 1 species